UGUGAUGCUUCAGGUGUUGGUAUUAGAGGUGUCUUGAGUCAAGAAAGUCAUCCUAUAGCAUUCUUUAGUGAAAAACUCAAUGAGGCUAAACAAAGGUAUUCCACUUAUGAUAGGGAGCUUUAUGCUAUUGUCCAGUCUCUUCCUCAUUGGUGAUAUUAUUUAUUACCACAAGAGUUUGUUUUGUUUUCUGACCAUCAAGCAUUGAGGUAUUUGAACUCACAAAAGAAAUUGAAUUCUAGACAUGCUAGGUGGGUUAUGUUUCUUAAUGAGUAUUCCUUUGUUCUUAAAUAUCGUUCUGACAUUGGGAAUAAAGCAGUUGAUGCACUUUGUCGUAUAGCAACUGUUCUUCAUGAAAUGAGUGCACAUGUCAUUGGAUUUGAUAGAAUGAAAGAUGAUUAUGAUACUUGUCCUAAUUUUGGUCUUAUUUUUCAAGAAGUGAAUACAGGUAAUAGUUGUGAUUUUGUUGAUUUCGUUAUUCAUGAUUGUUAUUUGUUUAAGGUUACUAAAUUGUGCAUUCCUCAUACUUCACUUAUAGAAUUUCUAGUAUGGGAAUUACAUGCAGGUGGAUUAGCAGGACAUUUUGGAAAAGAUAAAACCAUUACUCUUGUUGAGGAUAAGUUCUAUUGGCCUUCAUUGAAGAGAGAUGCUGCUAGGAUUGUCUCACAAUGUCGCACUUGUCAGUUAGCUAAUGCUAAGAAACAUAAAACUAGUUUGUACACUCCUCUUCCUAUUCCACAUACCCUUUGGAAAGAUGUGAGUAUGGACUUUGUUCUUGGGUUACCUAAAACAACUUGAGGGCAUGAUUCUAUCUUAGUAAUAAUGGAUAGGUUUUCUAAAAUGGCACAUUUAAUUCCAUGUAACAAGACAUAUGAUGCUUCACAUGUAGCUGCACUGUUUUUUAGGGAAGUUAUUAAAUUGCUAGGUUUACCCUCUUCUAUAGUGUCUGAUAGGGAUGUCAAGUUUGUUAGUUACUUUUGGAACACACUUUGGAAGUUGUUUGGCACUACAUUGAAAUUUUAUUCAGCUUUUCACCCUCAAACAAAUGGUGAAACUGAAGUUAUGAAUCAUAGCUUGGGUGAUUUGCUUAGGUGUCUUGUAGGAGAAAAGCAAAGUAAUUGGGAUUUGGUUCUUUCUAUUAUAGAGUUUGCCUAUAACAAUUCAUUAAAUCGUUCCACAGGUAAAAGCUCUUUUGAGAUUAUGGCUAUUCACCCGUACUCCAGUCGACCAUGUUCCUCUUCCACCUGAUAUUUAUGUUUCACAACUUGCUAUAUCUUUUGCUCAACAUAUUCAUGAAUUGCAUGAUGAGAUUAGGCGAAAGAUUGCUUUAAGUAAUAAAAAUUACAAACUUGCUUCUAAUGCGCAUCAUAGGAAUAAAGAAUUCAAUGUUUGUGAUUAUGUCAUGGUUCGUAUUCGCCCUAAAAGAUUUCCUAAAAAUUCUCUAAAGAAACUUCAUGAUUGAGCCCUUGGCCUUUUCUCCAUUUUGCAAACAAUUGGAUCUAAUGCGUGUUUACUUGACUUACCUAAAUGUAUUAAUAUUAGUCCUGUUUUUAAUGUAGAGGACUUGUCACCUUAUCGAAGCACCUUUGAGCCUCCUACUUUGCCUUAUAGUGUUUCUACACGUCACCUUAUGCCAAAGUCGCCAUCACUUCCUCAGCCUAGAGAUAUCAUUGACACUAUGCUUGAUGAUGAGUCCGUUACUUCCCCACAAGGUGGAUUUCAUAGAUUUCUUGUCAAGUGGCAAGGCCGUCCUAAUUCUGAUGCUACUUGGAUCCAACAAGAGGAGUUCCAAACUUUAGAUCCUUCUCUCUUGG
rnacentral:misc_RNA from 1 species